UACCUACGGGAGGCAGCAGUGAGGAAUAUUGGUCAAUGGGCGGGAGCCUGAGCCAGCCAAGUCGCGUGAGGGAAGACGGUCCUAUGGAUUGUAAACCUCUUUAGGCGGGGAGCAAUGCCGGGCACGCGUGCCCGGAGGGAGAGUACCCGCAGAAUAAGCAUCGGCUAACUCCGUGCCAGCAGCCGCGGUAAUACGGAGGAUGCGAGCGUUAUCCGGAUUUAUUGGGUUUAAAGGGUGCGUAGGCGGAAUAUCAAGUCAGCGGUAAAAAUUCGGGGCUCAACCCCGUCGUGCCGUUGAAACUGAUG
rnacentral:rRNA from 1 species